GACUCGGUAGCUCAGCUGGUAGAGCAUAACACUUUUAAUGUUAGGGUCCUGGGUUCGAGCCCCAGCCGGGUCACAA
rnacentral:tRNA from 2 species